rnacentral:rRNA from 1 species
UGGGAAUUUUGGACAAUGGGCGCAAGCCUGAUCCAGCCAUGCCGCGUGCGGGAAGAAGGCCUUCGGGUUGUAAACCGCUUUUGUCAGGGAAGAAAUCCUUUGAGCUAAUGCCUCGGGGGGAUGACGGUACCUGAAGAAUAAGCACCGGCUAACUACGUGCCAGCAGCCGCGGUAAUACGUAGGGUGCAAGCGUUAAUCGGAAUUACUGGGCGUAAAGCGUGCGCAGGCGGUUAUGCAAGGCAGAGGUGAAAUCCCCGGGCUCAACCUGGGAACUGCCUUUGUGACUGCAUAGCUAGAGUACGGUAGAGGGGGAUGGAAUUCCGCGUGUAGCAGUGAAAUGCGUAGAUAUGCGGAGGAACACCGAUGGCGAAGGCAGCCUCCUGGGCCAGUACUGACGCUCAUGCACGAAAGCGUGGGGAGCAAACA